rnacentral:rRNA from 1 species
CACAUGCAAGUCGAACGGCAGCGCGGGAGCAAUCCUGGCGGCGAGUGGCGAACGGGUGAGUAAUACAUCGGAACGUGUCCUGUAGUGGGGGAUAGCCCGGCGAAAGCCGGAUUAAUACCGCAUACGAUCUACGGAUGAAAGCGGGGGAUCGCAAGACCUCGCGCUAUAGGGGCGGCCGAUGGCGGAUUAGCUAGUUGGUGGGGUAAAGGCCCACCAAGGCGACGAUCCGUAGCUGGUCUGAGAGGACGACCAGCCACACUGGGACUGAGACACGGCCCAGACUCCUACGGGAGGCAGCAGUGGGGAAUUUUGGACAAUGGGCGCAAGCCUGAUCCAGCAAUGCCGCGUGUGUGAAGAAGGCCUUCGGGUUGUAAAGCACUUUUGUCCGGAAAGAAAUCCUCUGGGUUAAUACCCCGGGGGGAUGACGGUACCGGAAGAAUAAGCACCGGCUAACUACGUGCCAGCAGCCGCGGUAAUACGUAGGGUGCGAGCGUUAAUCGGAAUUACUGGGCGUAAAGCGUGCGCAGGCGGUGAUGUAAGACCGAUGUGAAAUCCCCGGGCUUAACCUGGGAACUGCAUUGGUGACUGCAUCGCUGGAGUAUGGCAGAGGGGGGUAGAAUUCACGUGUAGCAGUGAAAUGCGUAGAGAUGUGGAGGAAUACCGAUGGCGAAGGCAGCCCCCUGGGGCCAUACUGACGCUCAUGCACGAAAGCGUGGGGAGCAAACAGGA